ACAACCUGAAGCUGGCGCACGGCAACAUCGUGGUGUUCCGCUCGCUGCUGGGCAUUUCGUGGAUGUGGUUCUUCGGCGCGGUGUUCCUGUCGCAGUUCCCGGCCCUGGCGAAGAACGUGCUG
rnacentral:ncRNA from 1 species